ACGCUGGCGGCGUGCUUAACACAUGCAAGUCGAACGAAGAGCGAUGGAAGCUUGCUUCUAUCAAUCUUAGUGGCGAACGGGUGAGUAACGCGUAAUCAACCUGCCCUUCAGAGGGGGACAACAGUUGGAAACGACUGCUAAUACCGCAUACGAUCCAACCUCGGCAUCGAGGAUGGAUAAAAGGUGGCCUCUAUUUAUAAGCUAUCACUGAAGGAGGGGAUUGCGUCUGAUUAGCUAGUUGGAGGGGUAACGGCCCCCAAGGCGAUGAUCAGUAGCCGGUCUGAGAGGAUGAACGGCCACAUUGGGACUGAGACACGGCCCAGACUCCUACGGGAGGCAGCAGUGGGGAAUCUUCCGCAAUGGACGAAAGUCUGACGGAGCAACGCCGCGUGAGUGAUGACGGCCUUCGGGUUGUAAAGCUCUGUUAAUCGGGACGAAAGGCCUUCUUGCGAAUAGUUAGAAGGAUUGACGGUACCGGAAUAGAAAGCCACGGCUAACUACGUGCCAGCAGCCGCGGUAAUACGUAGGUGGCAAGCGUUGUCCGGAAUUAUUGGGCGUAAAGCGCGCGCAGGCGGAUUGGUCAGUCUGUCUUAAAAGUUCGGGGCUUAACCCCGUGAUGGGAUGGAAACUGCCAAUCUAGAGUAUCGGAGAGGAAAGUGGAAUACCUAGUGUAGCGGUGAAAUGCGUAGAUAUUAGGAAGAACACCAGUGGCGAAGGCGACUUUCUGGACGAAAACUGACGCUGAGGCGCGAAAGCCAGGGGAGCGAACGGGAUUAGAUAACCCGGUAGUCCUGGCCGUAAACGAUGGGUACUAGGUGUAGGAGGUAUCGACCCCUUCUGUGCCGGAGUUAACGCAAUAAGUACCCCGCCUGGGGAGUACGACCGCAAGGUUGAAACUCAAAGGAAUUGACGGGGGCCC
rnacentral:rRNA from 1 species